AGAGUUUGAUCAUGGCUCAGGACGAACGCUGGCGGCGUGCUUAACACAUGCAAGUCGAACGGAAAGGUCUCUUCGGAGAUACUCGAGUGGCGAACGGGUGAGUAACACGUGGGUAAUCUGCCCUGCACUUCGGGAUAAGCCUGGGAAACUGGGUCUAAUACCGGAUAGGACCAAAAGGCGCAUGCCUUGUGGUGGAAAGCUUUUGCGGUGUGGGAUGGGCCCGCGGCCUAUCAGCUUGUUGGUGGGGUGACGGCCUACCAAGGCGACGACGGGUAGCCGGCCUGAGAGGGUGUCCGGCCACACUGGGACUGAGAUACGGCCCAGACUCCUACGGGAGGCAGCAGUGGGGAAUAUUGCACAAUGGGCGCAAGCCUGAUGCAGCGACGCCGCGUGGGGGAUGACGGCCUUCGGGUUGUAAACCUCUUUCACCAUCGACGAAGGUCCGGGUUUUCUCGGAUUGACGGUAGGUGGAGAAGAAGCACCGGCCAACUACGUGCCAGCAGCCGCGGUAAUACGUAGGGUGCGAGCGUUGUCCGGAAUUACUGGGCGUAAAGAGCUCGUAGGUGGUUUGUCGCGUUGUUCGUGAAAUCUCACGGCUUAACUGUGAGCGUGCGGGCGAUACGGGCAGACUGGAGUACUGCAGGGGAGACUGGAAUUCCUGGUGUAGCGGGAAUGCGCAGAUAUCAGGAGGAACACCGGUGGCGAAGGCGGGUCUCUGGGCAGUAACUGACGCUGAGGAGCGAAAGCGUGGGGAGCGAACAGGAUUAGAUACCCUAGUAGUCC
rnacentral:rRNA from 1 species